rnacentral:rRNA from 1 species
GACGAACGCUGGCGGCGUGCUUAACACAUGCAAGUCGAACGGAAAGGCCCUGCUUUUGCGGGGUGCUCGAGUGGCGAACGGGUGAGUAACACGUGAGUAACCUGCCCUUGACUUUGUGACAACUUCAGGAAACUGGGGCUAAUACCGGAUAGGAGCUCCUGCUGCAUGGUGGGGGUUGGAAAGUUUCGGCGGUUGGGGAUGGACUCGCGGCUUAUCAGCUUGUUGGUGGGGUAGUGGCUUACCAAGGCUUUGACGGGUAGCCGGCCUGAGAGGGUGACCGGCCACAUUGGGACUGAGAUACGGCCCAGACUCCUACGGGAGGCAGCAGUGGGGAAUAUUGCACAAUGGGCGGAAGCCUGAUGCAGCAACGCCGCGUGCGGGAUGACGGCCUUCGGGUUGUAAACCGCUUUCGCCUGUGACGAAGCGUGAGUGACGGUAAUGGGUAAAGAAGCACCGGCUAACUACGUG